rnacentral:rRNA from 1 species
AGCGUUGCUCGGAAUCACUGGGCGUAAAGCGUACGUAGGCGGUUAUUCAAGUCAGAGGUGAAAGCCCGGGGCUCAACCCCGGAACAGCCUUUGAAACUAGGUAGCUAGAAUCUUGGAGAGGUCAGUGGAAUUCCGAGUGUAG